rnacentral:lncRNA from 1 species
GGCAGUCGAGCGCACAGGAAUCCACCACCAGGCCUACUUCCAGCUUCUACGCUACUUCCGAGAUGUAGGAUUUAUUGUGAAUUACUUAAAGUCAUGUAAUUAAUUAGUAACUGCUCUGAUAUCUGGUUAUAUUAGAUAACCAGAAUUGACGAAUACUCAGUUACCCUAUUCUGACAGUUGUUGUGGAGUUAUCAGUUUCUUUGACAGGUGGAGAAUCUGGGUUUAGUCAAAAUACAGGGGAGACUCUGCUGAAUUUUCAGCAAGAGUCUAAGUAAAACUGUAACGGUAUUUAUUAGCAGAAAGGGUAAAGAGGUCAUUGUGCCCGACAUUUGCCAGGUGUCGGACACGCACAGGGCUUGGCUCG